UGAUUGUUAUUCCCCACAGCGUCGAAUGGAGGAGCUGAGGAAGGGAGGGGGGAGAAAGAAACUGAACAGGCUGAGACACUUUCAAAGAUGAGGGAGGCUCAGUGGAAAAUGUAACAUCCAGAGAGCUGUCGCCAGAAAAUGUGCAGGUUUCAUACUCAGGGAAAACAGCUGGCCAUCUGCAGUGUCUUAGUGUUCUGAAUCAACAUUCAUCUGGAAAGAAAAGGACAGAUGGCACAUAAUGUAAUUUAUCUGUGAGGACAAGGUCACAGGUUCUGAUCCACAUUCCCAUAUCUCAUUUUGGGAGAUAACCUGGGAUAACCAAGGAGGUACCUAAAGUUUUCACUCAUGGUCAGUGUGAAUAGAUUAUCUGGAAUCUAGCAAGUACAGUGGGCAGCCACAGUGCUGCAGCCGGGCAACAACCCCAGAGCUGAGGCCAGUGCCUUGGUCAUGAGCAGUGGCAAGAGCAUAUCUAACCUGACAUGCCUUUCGAUGUGGGAGGAAACCAGAGUAACCAAAGAAAGCCACAGGAACAUGCAGAGAGGAUCCAGCUGGCCAGGACUUGAGCUCAGAACCUGCAUGGGGCAGUCCAAAACCACUGCAUCACCGUGCCGCAGUGUUUCUGUACACUUUCAUCCUGCUGCCAUGAACAGGCACAUCAUCAAUAAAGAAAAGUCAGUUCCAGUGGCAGCCAUUCAACACAUGCCCAAGCCAUAACACUACCGCCUAUGUUUCAGUUUCAAAGGUGCUAUGCUUUGGAUCAUCAGCAGUUCCUUUGCUUCUCCUUCCCUCUUUCCAUCACUUUGUUUCUACCUGUCUCAUCUGUCCAUAACGCCUUGUUACAGAACAGUUUAUGUACUUAUAAACUAACUCUAAAUUUGUUCUGCGGUUGAGGGUUACCAGUGGUGUGCAUCAUGCGGUGAUGAAUCCCCUAAGGUUAUGGCAAUGUAGUUUUCUGUCUUGGACACAUCUGUACUUACAACCUGGAGAGUGUUCUUGAACUGUGCAACAGCUGAAAAGGAAUUUUGC